CCUUCUGCUGUCUGGGGAUCUUGGGGACAUACGAAAUUUAAAGAGAAGUCAUAAAACAGUAAUAAUAUUGUGUGCACUUCAUUUAUAUCAUCUGUAUAAUUAUUUCACAAAAUGAAGAUUUGAAAGUCAAGUGAUGUUAGUGAACCUCUAUUCCAGAAAAAAGAAGAAAAAGAAUUAGCAAUCUUUCAACAAGAGAAAAAUUUGGAGGACAAAUACCCAGUCUUCUCAAGAAUGGAGCCAGACAUCAGUACCGAAAGAGUAAAGUGGUCUGAGGCUUGUGCUUCUGGGCAGCGACACCUCGAAGCUCCCCUGGCCCCCGCAAGGCCCUGCUGCGAUUCAAGGGUGUCUGGUAUCUGACGCUGCCCGGAGGGCUCUGACCGUCGUCUGUUGAAUUAGAACACGAGAGAGCGCUCCUAUACAAAGAAUAACUAUGUACAGACACCCGGGAAGCAACUGGAAAAAGCAACCG